ACUUCGGGCGACGAUGACCGGGAAGAGCGCAGCCGGGGCCGCGCCACGGCCCCUCGCCCCUGUGCCGGCGACUGUGCGACUCCGCAGUCCCCUGACCUCUGGCACAGCUGUGGGGACAGAACAGGGGAGAUGUGGGUCCUGCCCAGGGGGUCACAGCUAACCACAGAGGGCCUUGAGUGGGCUGGGCCACUGCCGCCACAGCUACUCAGGAGGCUGAAAUCUGAGGAUCGAGGUUCAA